UUCAUUUUCUCAGCUCAAGCAGGAGUGGAGAGAGAAUUGUCUGUCUUCAAGUGGUUCAAGCAAAGGACCCAUAGUCAGAACUCCUGGAUUCUAUCUCUGGAUCUAUCAGUAGAUUUUCUCUUUGAUUUGUGGGGUUGUGAAAAGUGCAAGACUGACCGAGAAUUAUGUCCUCCACCCCAUAGCACAGCCUUGAAGAAACUCACCCCAGGAUUCACCCUGUGCAAGAGCCUGGAGCUUCAGGAGCAGUUUUCAUUGAGUGUGCUGAUUCAGGCAGAGGUGCAUUAACUCAGUGGGCUUGAAUAUUCAGGACAAGAUGGUCUUGGCUGAACAUCUGACAUUUCUGUAACAAUACUAUGAAUUUCCCAACUGAUACCAAGUUACCUACAAAAAAGAA